AUACGUAGGGGGCAAGCGUUGUCCGGAUUUAUUGGGCGUAAAGGGUACGCAGGCGGUCUUUUAAGUCAGAUGUGAAAUCUUACGGCUCAACCGUAAUCAGCAUUUGAAACUGGGAGACUUGAGUUAAGGAGAGGAAAGUGGAAUUCCUAGUGUAGCGGUGAAAUGCGUAGAUAUUAGGAGGAAUACCAGUGGCGAAGGCGACUUUCUGGACUUAUACUGACGCUGAGGUACGAAAGCGUGGGGAGCAAACAGGAUUAGAUACCCUGGUAGUCCACGCCGUAAACGAUGAGUGCUAGGUGUCGGGUGUCAAAGCUCGGUGCCGCAGCUAACGCAUUAAGCACUCCGCCUGGGGAGUACGUACGCAAGUAUGAA
rnacentral:rRNA from 1 species